GCAGGUGGCAAGCGUUGUCCGGAAUUAUUGGGCGUAAAGCGCGCGCAGGGCGGUCCUUUAAGUCUGAUGUGAAAGCCCACGGCUCAACCGUGGAGGGUCAUUGGAAACUGGGGGACUUGAGUACAGAAGAGGAAAGCGGAAUUCCAAGUGUAGCGGUGAAAUGCGUAGAGAUUUGGAGGAACACCAGUGGCGAAGGCGGCUUUCUGGUCUGUAACUGACGCUGAGGCGCGAAAGCGUGGGGAGCAAACAGGAUUAGAUACCCUGGUAGUCCACGCCGUAAACGAUGAGUGCUAAGUGUUAGGGGGUUUCCGCCCCUUAGUGCUGCAGCUAACGCAUUAAGCACUCCGCCUGGGGAGUACGGCCGCAAGGCUG
rnacentral:rRNA from 1 species